rnacentral:rRNA from 1 species
GACGAACGCUGGCGGCAUGCCUAACACAUGCAAGUCUAGGGGUAGCAAUACCACUGGCGCACGGGUGAGUAACACGUAGGUUAUCUGCCCCCAUCACAGACAUAACCCCGGGAAACCGGGGCUAAUAUCUGAUGAGGUCGCGAGAUCAAAGCUUCGGCGGAUGGGGAUGAGCCUGCGGCUGAUUAGCUAGUUGGUGAGGUAAUGGCUCACCAAGGCGACGAUCAGUAGCUGGUCUGAGAGGACGAACAGCCACACUGGAACUGAGACACGGUCCAGACUCCUACGGGAGGCAGCAGUGAGGAAUAUUGGUCAAUGGGAGCAAUCCUGAACCAGCAAUGCCGCGUGUGGGAUGACAGGGCUUCGCCUUGUAAACCACUGUCGGACGGGACGAAAGGAGGCCACGGGCCUCUGGGACGGUACCGUCAAAGGAAGGGUCGGCUAACUACGUG